UUAACCGAAGUAUUUAUAUUUUGGAGCGGUUAGUGGCGGACUGGUGAGUAACACGUAAGCAACCUGCCUAUUAGAGGGGAAUAACAGUGAGAAAUCAUUGCUAAUACCGCAUAUGCUGUGAGUAUCGCAUGAUACAAACAGGAAAGGAGCAAUCCGCUAAUAGAUGGGCUUGCGUCUGAUUAGAUAGUUGGUGGGGUAACGGCCUACCAAGUCAACGAUCAGUAGCCGAACUGAGAGGUUGAACGGCCACAUUGGGACUGAGAUACGGCCCAGACUCCUACGGGAGGCAGCAGUCGGGAAUAUUGCACAAUGGAGGAAACUCUGAUGCAGUGACGCCGCGUGCAGGAAGAAGGUUUUCGGAUUGUAAACUGCUUUAGACAGGGAAGAAACAAGACAGUACCUGUAGAAUAAGCUCCGGCUAACUACGUGCUAGCAGCCGCGGUAAUACGUAGGGAGCAAGCGUUAUCCGGAUUUAUUGGGUGUAAAGGGUGCGUAGACGGGAAUUUAAGUUAGUUGUGAAAUCCCUCGGCUUAACUGAGGAACUGCAACUAAAACUGAAUUUCUUGAGUGCGGGAGAGGAAAGUGGAAUUCCUAGUGUAGCGGUGAAAUGCGUAGAUAUUAGGAGGAACACCAGUGGCGAAGGCGACUUUCUGGACCGUAACUGACGUUGAGGCACGAAAGUGUGGGGAGCAAACAGGAUUAGAUACCCUGGUAGUCCACACUGUNAACGAUGGAUACUAGGUGUAGGGAAUANUAAGUUUUCUGUGCCGUCGCAAACGCAAUA
rnacentral:rRNA from 1 species